AGCAAACGAGGAUGUCACAGUCACCAACAGUUGCAGCCACCACGGAGGUGAGCCCUGAGGGAACUCAGGAAGGAAAGAACACCUGCAACUGAGCAGCCUUCAGACUACAGCCACCACCUGGAGAGUCCUGAGUUAGCCCAGGAUGUGAAGACAGGAUACUGGCCCCAGAUAGCUGAGAGAUUAAAAGUUGCACAAUAGAGACAAAUAUUUGUCUUAGUGGACAUUUAGAAGAACAUCACGGCCUGACCUACGUGGACAACUACUAGAACAAAGGAUUUCUACACCAAGAAGAUUGUACCAACUAGCCACGCCCCUUCCUCGCCUUGUUUGUAAAACUGCUUUUCUGAAACCUGGAGUUCCAACUUUUGGGGGGCAUGAGCCACCUGUCUCCUUGCGUGGCCCUGCACCAACCUUCCUCUGUUACAAUUUCGGUAUUUGGCCUCACUGUGUGUCAGGCGCCUAAACCUUCCCUCGGUAACAGUCAAGUGGUGCAGUAUGUGAGCUCCAGACGGCAAACAAGAGCCAGGUUUUUCCUCCAGAAGUAAGAGGAGGGAAUUCCCUGGUGGUCCAGUGACUAACACUCCACGCUCCCAAGGCAGGAGGCCCAGGUUCGAUCCCUGAUUGGGGAAUUAUAUUGUACAUGCUGCAACUAAGACCUGGUGCAGCCAAUUUAAAAAAAAGGAAGUGACCCUUUGUGAUUCACUAACAGUAGGGUUUCCGUGGAGGCUUUGCUUGGAUGGCCUGAUAAUGAGAAAAUGCUUCCUCCUCCUAUCGGUGGUUGAUAACAUUAGGGGAAGCCUUGUUAUCUGCCAGGUGUAACUCUGUAGCCCAUAUGAUCCUGUUCCAUGCGGUCAUUUCUGCUUUUCAAAGCACAGAGAGGUGAGCUGAGCUGACCAAGCCCAAAACUAGUGAACAGCCGCGGUGGACGAACCUGGCUCCCAGCCCUCGCUCCCAAACACUCAGCAUCCUGCUCUCCCAAGAUGAAGUUCCAUUGCCCUUGGAUCUGAAUGAGAUGCCACAACAUUCAGUCCAAAAAUCCUUCCCUUAAUUUGCACAUCCUCCCCGUGACUAUAAGCAUGUGGUGGUGGUGGUUUAUUCGCUCAGUUGUGUCCUACUCUUGUGACCCCAUGGACUAUAGUCCGCCAGGCUCCUCUGUCCAUGGGAUUUCCCAGGCAAGAAUAACAGAGUGGGUUGCUAUUUCCUUCUCCAAACUAUGGCCAUGCACAGAAUUUAACCACAGCAGCAUCAGGUUUUGAGAAAUAGGACUCAGGAAGACCUCAUAUCUGCAGUGUUCUCUCUAAAGGUUUGCAGCCGGAAGAAGAGAGCAGCCUGCAGAGUGGGAGUGGCAGUUGCACUGUAUCGCAGUUUGUGUUCCAGUUACAAACUGUCCCCAGUCCCACACUUGUGG
ensembl:lncRNA